CAAUAGCGUAUAUUAAAGUUGUUGCAGUUAGAACGCUCGUAGUCGGAUUUCGGGGCGGGCCGACCGGUCUGCCGAUGGGUAUGCACUGGUCGGCGCGUCCUUCCUUCCGGAGACCGUGCCUACUCUUAACUGAGCGGGGGCGGGAGACGGAUCGUUUACUUUGAAAAAUCAGAGUGUUUCAAGCAGGCAGCUCGCUCUUGCAUGGAUUAGCAUGGGAUAAUGAAAUAGGACUUUGGUGCUAUUUUGUUGGUUUCGAACACCGAAGUAAUGAUUGAUAGGGACAGUUGGGGGUGCUGGUAUUAUAUGGCCAGAGGUGAAAUUCUCAGAUUCAUGUAAGACCAACUCAUGCGAAAGCAUUCACCAAGGAUGUCUUCUUUAAUCAAGAACGAAAGUAGGGGGAUCGAAGACGAUUAGAUACCGU
rnacentral:rRNA from 1 species